rnacentral:lncRNA from 1 species
GGAAAAUUCUGGAGUAGAGCAUGGAAGUCUUGCACUGGUCUUCUGGAAGAUACAAUAGCAUGCAUCCCCAAGUGCUCUUAUAUCACAAAACACUAGAGAUUUGCUGUGCAGAAAUAUGUUUGAGCCAGGCUGAUGUAGAACACUUCUCUACUAGACUUUUUGUAUUUUCCAACUUUUGGAUGAAAGAGAGACGUAGCAGCAACCCAA